rnacentral:rRNA from 1 species
UACAGAGGUCUCGAGCGUUGUUCGGAUUCAUUGGGCGUAAAGGGCGCGUAGGCGGCGCGGUAAGUCGGGUGUGAAAUCUUGGAGCUUAACUCCGAAACUGCAUUCGAUACUGCCGUGCUUGAGGACUGGAGAGGAGACUGGAAUUUACGGUGUAGCGGUGAAAUGCGUAGAUAUCGUAAGGAAGACCAGUGGCGAAGGCGGGUCUCUGGACAGUUCCUGACGCUGAAGCACGAAGGCCAGGGGGAGCAAACGGG